rnacentral:tRNA from 1 species
ACCUGGCUGGCUCAGUUGGUGGAGUGUGAGACUCUCGAUCUCCAGGUUGUGAGUUCGAGCCCACGUUGGGUG